GACGGAGGGUGCAAGCGUUGUUCGGAUUUACUGGGCGUAAAGGGCGUGUAGGCGGUUGGUCAAGUCUGAUGUGAAAGCCCGGGGCUCAGCUCCGGAAGGGCAUCGGAAACUAACCAGCUGGAGCGCGAUAGAGGAGGGCGGAAUUCCUGGUGUAGCGGUGAAAUGCGUAGAUAUCAGGAGGAACACCGGCGGCGAAGGCGGCCCUCUGGAUCGUUGCUGACGCUGAGACGCGAAAGCGUGGGGAGCAAACAGG
rnacentral:rRNA from 1 species